ensembl:snoRNA SNORD36 Small nucleolar RNA SNORD36
UAGCAAUGAUGUUUGAAUUUCUUCACCUGAAUCCCCUGUGUGGAUCAACACAUACGAGCUUUUUAAAUCUGAGCAAA